AACGAACGCUGGCGGCAGGCUUAACACAUGCAAGUCGAACGCAUCGCAAGAUGAGUGGCAGACGGGUGAGUAACGCGUGGGAACAUAGAAUUUUCUACGGAAUAGCUCUGGGAAACUGGAAUUAAUACCGUAUACGCCCUACGGGGGAAAGAUUUAUCGGGGAAGGAUUGGCCCGCGUUGGAUUAGCUAGUUGGUGGGGUAAAGGCCUACCAAGGCGACGAUCCAUAGCUGGUCUGUGAGGAUGAACAGCCACAUUGGGACUGAGACACUGCCCCAACUCCUACGGGAGGCAGCAAUGGGGAAUAUUGGAAAGUGGGCGCAAGCUUGAUCCAGCCAUGCCGCGUGAGUGCUGAAGGCCUUAGGGUUGUAAAGCUCUUUCACCGAUGAAGAUAAUGACGGUAGUCGGAGAAGAAGCCCCGGCUAACUUCGUGCCAGCAGCCGCCGUAAUAC
rnacentral:rRNA from 1 species